GUGGGGAAUAUUGGGCAAUGGGGGAAACCCUGACCCAGCGACGCCGCGUGGGUGAAGAAAUCCUUCGGGAUGUAAAGCCCUGUUGUAUGGGAAGAGCGGAAGACGGUACCAUACGAGGAAGCCCCGGCAAACUACGUGCCAGCAGCCGCGGUAAUACGUAGGGGGCAAGCGUUGUCCGGAAUUACUGGGCGUAAAGCGCACGCAGGCUGAAUUAUAAGUCGGUAGUCAAAGGAGGAGGCUCAACCUCUGUAUAUCUAUCGAUACUGUAAAUCUGGAGUAUGUGAGAGGGAAGCGGAAUGCCCGGUGUAGCGGUGAAAUGCGUAGAUAUCGGGAGGAACACCAGUGGCGAAGGCGGCUUCCUGGCACAAUACUGACGCUCAUGUGCGAAAGCUAGGGCAGCGAACGGGAUUAGAUACCCCAGUAGUCC
rnacentral:rRNA from 1 species